GGCCAGACUCCUACGGGAGGCAGCAGUGGGGAAUAUUGCACAAUGGGGGAAACCCUGAUGCAGCGACGCCGCGUGAGCGAAGAAGUAUUUCGGUAUGUAAAGCUCUAUCAGCAGGGAAGAAAUUGACGGUACCUGAGUAAGAAGCUCCGGCUAAAUACGUGCCAGCAGCCGCGGUAAUACGUAGGGGGCAAGCGUUAUCCGGAUUUACUGGGUGUAAAGGGAGCGUAGACGGCGAUGCAAGUCUGAAGUGAAGGGCGGGGGCCCAACCCCCGGACUGCUUUGGAAACUGUAUAGCUGGAGUGCAGGAGAGGUAAGUGGAAUUCCUAGUGUAGCGGUGAAAUGCGUAGAUAUUAGGAGGAACACCAGUGGCGAAGGCGGCUUACUGGACUGUAACUGACGUUGAGGCUCGAAAGCGUGGGGAGCAAACAGGAUUAGAUACCCUCGUAAC
rnacentral:rRNA from 1 species